GACGAACGCUGGCGGCGUGCUUAACACAUGCAAGUCGAACGGUGAAGCGCCUUCCUUUUUGGUGGGUGUGGAUGAGUGGCGAACGGGUGAGUAACACGUGAGUAACCUGCCCCCUUCUUCUGGAUAACCGCAUGAAAGUGUGGCUAAUACGGGAUAUUCUGGGUCUGUCGCAUGAUGGGUCUGGGAAAGAUAUUGUUUCGGUGGGGGAUGGGCUCGCGGCCUAUCAGCUUGUUGGUGGGGUGAUGCCUACCAAGGCGGUGACGGGUAGCCGGCCUGAGAGGGUGGACGGUCACACUGGGACUGAGACACGGCCCAGACUCCUACGGGAGGCAGCAGUGGGGAAUAUUGCACAAUGGGCGCAAGCCUGAUGCAGCGACGCCGCGUGAGGGAUGGAGGCCUUCGGGUUGUGAACCUCUUUCGCCAGUGAAGCAGGCCUGCCUCGUUUGUGGGUGGGUUGACGGUAGCUGGAUAAGAAGCGCCGGCUAACUACGUG
rnacentral:rRNA from 1 species